rnacentral:ncRNA from 1 species
UACUGGAUGAAUUUGGUUCUAGUUUUUAUGUUAAUAAAUUUCUUUAAUAAAUGCAUGCGAGUUAUAAGCGAAACGGUAAGUAAGUAAAUAUACUAAUUUAAUUCUAAAAGAUUAAAAUAAAUUUAAAUAUUUAUGUAGUUACUUAAAAUUUACAAAGUAAAAUAGUUAUUAACUAGAGUUACACCUGCAGCAGAGAAUUUUUAACAAUUACUUUAUAGUAGAUUAAGAAAGGAAUAAUUUAGUCUGGCUAAGUUUCGUGCCAGCAGCCGCGGUUACACGAACUAGAUUAAGUUAAUAUAUUAAGCGGCUUAUUAAAGUAUAGUAUAAUAAUUUCUUAAAAAGGAUAUAAGGAAGGGUAAAAUCUUAAUUUAUCUGAAGAAAGAUAGAGAUUUUAAAUCUUUAAGGCUUGUGGAGAAGACCCGGAUUAGAUACCCGGUUAUUCACAGGUGUAACACAAAAAUGCCGGUGGAGUAACAGGAAUACUUUGAAAAACAAAGAACUUGGCGGUUGUUUAAGUCUGACCGGAGGUGCUUGCUUCAAAUAACCGAUGAUCCACGUGUUACCUUACCGCAGCUUGAAAUUUACAGCUACUAUAUCAUCGUUAUUAAUCCUCCUAUCUUGAGUUAAGUUGGGGAAAAAACUUUACUGUUAGAUAUCAGAUCGAGAUGGUGCCUAUGAUGCGGGUUGUGGUUAGUAGCAUUGAACUUUAAUCUCCUUAGUUUAGGAAAUACACUGAAAAAUGUAAUUUAAAUUGGAUUCGGUAUUAAGAUUAGAAAUAUAAAUAAUCUGAAGUAAGUUAUUAAGCUUCGUACACAUCGCCCGUCGCCUGCGGGGUAAAACCUGGAGUAAGUCGUAACAUAGUGGGUGAGCCGGAAGGAGUGACCUGGAUAGAAA